rnacentral:rRNA from 1 species
AUACCCUGGUAGUCCACGCAGUAAACGAUGAUAACUGGUUGUCGGCGAUAAAAUGUCGGUGACUAAGCGAAAGCGAUAAGUUAUCCACCUGGGGAGUACGUUCGCAAGAAUGAAACUCAAAGGAAUUGACGGGGGCCCGCACAAGCGGAGGAACAUGUGGUUUAAUUCGAUGAUACGCGAGGAACCUUACCCGGGCUUGAAAGUUACUGACGAUUCUGGAAACAGGAUUUCCCUUCGGGGCAGGAAACUAGGUGCUGCAUGGUUGUCGUCAGCUCGUGCCGUGAGGUGUCGGGUUAAGUCCCAUAACGAGCGCAACCCCUACCGUUAGUUGCCAUCAGGUAAAGCUGGGCACUCUGGCGGGACUGCCGGUGUAAGCCGAGAGGAAGGUGGGGAUGACGUCAAAUCAGCACGGCCCUUACGUCCGGGGCUACACACGUGUUACAAUGGCAGGUACAGAGGGCAGCUACCCAGCAAUGGGAUGCGAAUCUCGAAAGCCUGUCUCAGUUCGGAUUGGAGGCUGAAACCCGCCUCCAUGAAGUUGGAUUCGCUAGUAAUCGCGCAUCAGCCAUGGCGCGGUGAAUACGUUCCCG